UUGGAGGGCAAGUCUGGUGCCAGCAGCCGCGGUAAUUCCAGCCCCAAUAGCGUAUAUUAAAGUUGUUGCAGUUAAAAAGCUCGUAGUUGAACUUCAGACCUGGCUGGGCGGUCCGCUUAACGGCGUGUACUGUCUGGCUGGGUCUUACCUCUUGGUGAGCCGGCGUGCCCUUUAUUGGUGUGCGUCGGGGAACCAGGACUUUUACCUUGAGAAAAUUAGAGUGUUCAAAGCAGGCCUAUGCCUGAAUACAUUAGCAUGGAAUAAUAAAAUAGGACG
rnacentral:rRNA from 1 species